UCCUCCACAGCAACAACAAAGUCA
rnacentral:siRNA from 1 species